UCCGCCCCUCGGAUUCGCCAUAGUAACCGCGCAUGUGCAGCAGAAACAGGCUCACUGGAGGAACUGUGUGUCAUGUGACUGGCUAGGGAACCAACAUGGCUGCUCCUGGGUUGGAGAGGGAUGAAUCUGCAGGCCCUGAGGAAAAUCUAAAAGCCCAGCAUGAAAAGGUCCAACUACAAGAUAGCUACACUGGUGCAUCUUACCACAAUGUGGAUGACAGAAAUUCAAGUCCUGAUGUCAUCAGAUCCCUCCCACAGGGAUGGAAAAGAAUUGUAAAACAAAGACAAUCGGGCAAGACCUCUGGAAAAUAUGAUGUAUACUUUGUAAGCCCUCAGGGGACAACUUUAAGAUCCAGAAUUUCUCUUGCAAAAUAUCUUAACAAUAACAAAGAAAUGAACCUUAAACUGGAGGACUUUGAUUUCUCUGUCCCAGAUCAAUCACAAAAGCAACGUACAAAGAAGGAAACAUACAGGGGGCGGAAUGAGGGCAGAGACCAAAAAGAAGCCAUUGAAAAUACACAGUAUACAAAAGAAACAUCUGUAAAAAAAAGCACUGUUUGCAGAAAAAGAAUUAGAAGCCACAGGAAAGCAUCUGACAAAGGUAUUAUAGAAGGCAGGCCAAUUAAACGGCAAAGAAAGCACUCGUCUGAGCAUCUGACACAACGCAAGCAGAAAAAAGCCAUCAGGAGCAGGGGACCAAAGAGAGAACUGGAACAAAAGAAAUCUAAGAAUAACAAAGUGAACAUUCAGCAAGAGCUAAAAGUCAGUGUAACUGCUCCAAGUCCCUCCUGUGAUAAUGAAGAGGCAGAAAUUCUUUCAACUUUAUCUGAGAACGAUCACAGAUGUUCUGAUACCGCAGAUGAUCAAGCGGUUCCCUGCACACCAGAACUGCUCUGUGAUGCUGGAAUAGAGGAAACAAACAGCGAUUCCAACAGGGAUGAUGGUGAUACUUUUACUUCUGAGAAACAAACCGAUGAUUUUAUCACAGCAUCUCAAGUAGAAAAGAGAAAAACCAGUCCAUAUUUCUCCAGAAAAGCAAUAAAAGAAGCUCUUGCGCCGCCUAAGAGAAAAGCUUUUACCAAGUGGACCCCACCACGUUCCCCAUUUCAUUUGGUUCAAGAAACUCUUUUUCAUGACCCAUGGAAACUGCUUAUUGCAACCAUCUUUUUAAAUAAAACCUCUGGGAAAAUGGCGAUUCCUGCUUUGUGGCAGUUCCUGAAAAAAUACCCUAAUCCUGAAGUUGCUAGAGCUGCGGACUGGAAGGAAAUGGCAGAACUGCUUCAGCCGCUGGGGCUUUAUGAACUCAGGGCAAAAGCCAUCGUCAGAUUUUCAGGCAUGAAAUGUAUACUGUCAUAGUGACCAUAGCACUCUGAAAUCAGAAGGUUGCAGAUGAGUAUCUCACUAAGAAAUGGAGAUAUCCAAUAGAACUUCACGGAAUUGGGAAAUACGGAAAUGAUUCAUACAGGAUCUUCUGUGUGAAUGAGUGGAAGCAGGUACAGCCACAAGAUCAUAAACUGAAUUUUUACCAUACCUGGUUGUGGGAAAACCACAAGAAGCUCGGCCUGGACUGAACCGUGGUUUUACCUUCCAUAAACUGUUACCUGUUCAACCCUCAUUUUUGUCAUUAGUGAUUUAUUAAAUUGUGAUAUUACAGAUGAGCUGGUAUUACUCUGGGGAAGGACUACACUUUUUCUUUAUUAUGUAUAUGUAUGAUGAUAAGAGAUAAAGAAAUCAUUUUGUAUUUUUAUAUAAAAGUUAUUAAACGGUUUUAAAUGCUAA